rnacentral:piRNA from 1 species
UGGUUAAGACAAAACUGGUAUGAAAUGGC